rnacentral:snRNA from 1 species
CGCAGCUAUGUGGUGAGCACAAAGCGAACUAUUCUUUCGCCUUUUACUAAAGAAUACCGUGUGCUCUCCACGCCAAGUGGCUUACGCCUAUUUUUGGAGGG